UACGUAGGUGGCAAGCGUUGUCCGGAAUUAUUGGGCGUAAAGAGUUCGUAGGCGGCCGAUCGCGUCGGAUGUGAAAGCUCAGGGCUCAACCCUGAGAGGCCAUUCGAUACGGAUCGGCUAGAGGUAGGUAGGGGAAAGUGGAAUUCCUGGCGUAGCGGUGAAAUGCGCAGAUAUCAGGAGGAACACCGGUGGCGAAGGCGGCUUUCUGGGCCUUACCUGACGCUGAGGAGCGAAAGCGUGGGUAGCAAACAGG
rnacentral:misc_RNA from 1 species